GUAGCGUGUUUUGAUACGUUGAUACGUAAAUAUAAAAGAUUUUUUUUUUCUAUUUUCUUUUUUUCUUUCUUUCCCGAUCUUCUCUCUCUUUUCUCUCUCGAUCUAAAAAGGCGAAUCGACUGAAACCAGAAAAAUCAAUCGAUUCUUCUCUGUUUCGCGACUCUCCCUGCCGUUAUCGUCAUUUGGAUCAUUAUCUCCACCGGCGCGACUUUGGGCUGGAGAGAUGGUCAUUGGCCUGGAGAAAUCACCGGACCUCUCUUCUUACUUCCUCCUUUGGUAUGUUUCUUCUUCUUCGUUUUUCCUUUCAAUUCUAUCGGUGAAUACUCAAUUAGGGGAAACAUUUGGCUCUCGGUAAGCUUUUGGGACCAUAUCCUCCUAAUUUUAAAUGAUAGAAAGGUUGAACGGUUACCUGUUACAAUCAGCUUUUGAUUUUUUUUUUAUGUAGAUGAUUGGUUUGGAACUUGCAGUUGCAGGUUAAAAUUGCAAAGAAUGUUUAGAGGGAUGUAGUAGAAUCACCCAAAGUAAUGACGAUGAUGAAGCUUGAGGGAAGUUAUUAGUCUAAAGAAAAAGAAUAAGAAAUAUAACUAUUCACCACUGGAGAAAAUUUGAGAACUAGAGAGGCAACAGUUGUAGUCUUUGGGUUAUUUAUGUAGAAGAUUGAAAACUUUUGUUCAUCGAUUAGUGUAAGCGUAGCAAUAAGGAUGGCUUGGUGUUUUGGUUUGUGGUUGCAGGCUGUAUCAGCUAAAGUCAUUCGUGUAAGCGUAGAAACUGAGCAGAUGCGUGCCUUUGAAACUAGAAAUUAUCUUCGAGUGGAGGUGUGGCUGAGACAAUAGCAUCAGCAUAUCAUUUAGUUGUUGCAGAAAACUCAAAUGAAGAAGCUGAGAUGAAUAAAUGCAAGUUUGUUGUUAAACGUAUCAGAAAGAUGGAGAAAGAUGUUGAAGAAGCCUGCUCUACUGGUAAAAAACUGUUUUACUAAUCAAUGAUUACCAACAAGUGCCCCAAUUUUUUCUUGAAGUCUAAUGUAAUUCUUAUUUAUCAAUUUGUGCAAACAUUGUUUAAGUGAGCUUUUGUUGUUCUGCAAUAUAGGUUCCUUGUAUAUAUUUCACCAUUUUGAGUUUUCUUCUAUAUCAAUUGAAUUUGUAAGCC